rnacentral:lncRNA from 1 species
AGCGACAAUGCGUGGAGGGCACAGCGCUGUGCCUGCCUUCUUCUCUGGCCACGAUGACUGAGCUGGGGAGUCAGCACUGGGCCCUGCAAACCAGGCGUCCCACUGCCUUACCUGAGAGUCAAGUGCUGGAGCUGGCCGUUCUCCCCACAGCACCUUAAAGACGGGAGAAAGCCAACCCUGCUGUCAGCAACCCUGAUGAGAUUUUUCCCAGAUUAUCAUCUAAUGGAAAAGAAAUCUCUCUCUCCAAAUGCAAGUUUCUCAGCACUGAGCCUCCAGCCCAGCAGUUUCGCUCCUGGAAGUUUGUCUUACAUGGAUGAAAUGAGCUGUGUACAAGGUUACCCAUGGCAAUGUUGUUUUGAUAGAAGAAAGAAAAGACUGAAAACGACCAAAAUAUCUUUCCUCAGGGCACAGGAUAUACAAGCGAGUGUACACCGCUAUAAUGGGAUUGUAGGCAAAGAAACAACACAAGAAAAGAGAUCGAAGUGACUGCUGAAACUUCAGCGUCAGAACCGCCUAGAGGACUUGAAAGUCAGAUGGCUGUGGGGCCAGGCUCCUGAGGGCUGCUAAUCCUUCUUGCCCAGGACCGCAUUUUGAGAACCACUGCUGUAGAGAUGGAAUGACUAAACGAAAGCCUCCAAGAUCCUUAUUUUGUGCCAUCUCUCCUUUACUGUGUAAUUAAGACUCUUCUCGUCACUGCAAACACUGCUCCUAGGUGUUCAUUCCCCUCUGAGCUGCCAGUAUAUCAGGCACGUCAUAGACAUCACACUGAAACUUCACAGUCUCACCCAACUCUGAGGACAAAAGGCAGAGAAUGUUGUCAAACCGGUAGCAUCCCUUAAGGAGCAGCCUGGAACGAGAAUAAAGCAGAAUCUCGGAGUGUGAUCCCC